rnacentral:lncRNA from 1 species
UAUAAGAGUUAGGCGAAGCACGAGAAGAAUACGUGCUGCGCAAGCCUUUUGCAUCCAUGGGUGAACGCUAAAUAUAGGUAACGCACAAUGAGGUGCAUGAAUCUGAUAAUAAGUAAAGUUUUGCCUGAGUUGGUUAACAUUUAGUAUAUAAAGGCCUUGUGCCUAGACUUCGAGUACUCGAAACUUGAGUGCUUAAUAAUGAGGCUCUCCUGUAUCACCGUUGUGCUUGUCUUGGCAAUCUGCGCUGUUUUUAUGCCGAGAAUUAAUAAAGAGGGUCCCAACUCCGUUAUAGAAUUUGGACUUCCUGGGGCAAGUGCAGGGAGAUAUGGUGCGAGAGGAAACAGAAAUGAUGCCAUGACAUUCACCAAAAAAGUGACACGACCAACCAGACUAAAGAACCAGAGCCGUCUUAGGCGAUCGACGUGAAGGUGACCAGCGGACGACCUUUGAGGCGUGGCUGGGAGCAGCAGAUGGCCAAGAUUAUGAAAGCUUGGAUAACCCUAAUGAAUUCCAUCGUUGACACGUCUCUGCCGUGGAACAAACUAAUACGCUCAAUAAAGCAAUACCAAGGGUCUA